GGCCUCCUGCUUCGGAAGAAGAGGGGGAAGAGGCCGCGCGGGAGGGACUUCUGACACUUGCCACUGUUUUUGUUUUCAAAGAGGGGUACUUAACCGAAACUAGCAAUCCCAGGCGGUACAAGGCCCUCCAUCGUAGGCAAAGCACUACCUGAAUGUAGAUUUGGGGCCAUACGUUGGAAAAUAAGACAUGAGAGUAUGCUCCAAUCAACCUUUACUGUUUACUGGACAACUAUUUUGGGAAUUUGCAGACCUUUAUAGGUUUAUAGCCCAUCUAUAAAUCUCAAGCAUGUCCACUUUCAGAGAAGAGAAAUGCCAACAACCAUUUAGUCUCUGAGGACAACACUUUUAAAGAGCUGUAAAGGUACAUUUCCUCUUCAUGUGUUCUCACUUCCAUCCUUUACUUCGGUGAAAAGACGUUUUCCUUCCGUACACUCAUGAGUCCAAGAGGGAUGAAGGCUUGUGGAAAUUUUGCAGCAGCCUUCCCUGACCAUGGUGGCCUGAAGUGCACCUUUUAUAUAGGACUCCAUCAUAGGACUGGAGAGAGAUUGGAUGUCAGAAUGAUUGAUGUGCUCCUACUGGAAGAAGGCAAACAUCCAUAUGUGAACUGCCUGUGGGGUUUCCAAGGAAAGGAACAGCAGGCAGCCUCUAUGAGCUUGAAGAAGUCCCAGCCAACAGUUAGCAAGAUAACUGGGACUUUAUUCCUAUAACCACAAGGAACAGUAUUCUGAGAAGCUUGGAAGAGGACCCCAAACUCCAAAUAAGAAGCUCAGUGUGUCUGACACCUUGACUGCAGGCUUGGGAAGUCCUGAGCAGAAGAUCCAGUUCAAUAGUGCCUGGACUCCUGACCCACAAAAACUGAUAACAAAUAUUUACUGUUUUAAGAUGCUAAGUUUGUAGUCAUUUUUAUACAGCAACAGAAAACUAAACACACACAUAAACAGUUAUAAGUACUCACUGUAUAUGAGGCUUUUCAUUAAUAAUCUAUAUUUUAUAAUGGAAUUAGAAUAUAGAUCCGUGAAGCUGAAGACAGUCAAUCCUUGCUAGAUUUAAAUCAGGAAAAUCAGCUGAGAAUCGUUCCUUGAUAGAACCUGGAAAACAAGACCCUAUGAGAGACCCUGGGAAUUACAUUAAAUUCACUGUGGUUCCCAGUGUCACUGAAGAGAUUUUCCUUUCAUAUAGUCAGGUAGUCACCAUACUGUUAAGCAUUUCAACACAUGGGCAACUUCCAGAAUGGUUAUGACAUUCAUAUACCAAUCUCCAAAAUUCCUGGAAUACUAUGUUUUCAUGGUUGACUUUCAGAUCAGUCAGUUCUUUGUAACUGAGCCAUAAAGAUGGGACAAAUACUUAAUGUUUUACCUAUAUUCAGAGAUUGACACUCAAAAUACAACCCAGAGAAACUCAAAAGAAUUAACUCUGUAUUUCUUCAAAUUGUGUGACGCCACCAAGGCCAGAUGACUUCAGAAUUGGGAAGGCAAUAUCCAGCUGUCAUCUUCUUGAUCCUCAUAUGCCAGCAUUUACUGAGCAGAUAGUUUUAUUGUCCAGUUUUUAAAGAUGAGAAAAUUGAGGUAUUAGGAAAGUUAAGUUGGUUGCCUAGGGAAACACGAAUGACAGAGCCCAGAUUCACUCCCAGGCAGGCAGAUGCCAGUGUCUGCUCUCUUUACCACCAAAAUAUCCUGCUACAUGUACAAUUUCAAUAAAUAUCUGGACUUACUGGAACAAAACAAA
rnacentral:antisense_RNA from 1 species